GUCAGCAGCCAUGCCACCUGCAGUUUAGACCAGGUAAUCUUUCUAAAGCUAAGCAGGUUCGGCCUUGGCCAGUAACUGGAUAGACCACCUAGAAAAGCUAAGUUGCUGUGGGAA
rnacentral:rRNA from 1 species